GAGGUAGUUCAGGUUGUAAAACAAUAGAAACAGAAGUUUAGCAUGGCCCCUCUGUAUAAGGAUGACAUGCAAAUCUGUGACGUGUUCCAUAUUUUU
rnacentral:snRNA from 1 species